AGCAGCAGCCACGGUAAUGCGUAGGUGGCAAGCGUUGUCCGGAAUUAUUGGGCGUAAAGGGCUCGCAGGUGGUUUCUUAAGUCUGAUGUGAAAGCCCCCGGCUCAACCGGGGAGGGUCAUUGGGAACUGGGAAACUUGAGUGCAGAAGAGGAGAGUGGAAUUCCACGUGUAGCGGUGAAAUGCGUAGAGAUGUGGAGGAACACCAGUGGCGAAGGCGACUCUCUGGUCUGUAACUGACGCUGAGGAGCGAAAGCGCGGGGAGCGAACAGGAUUAGAUACCCCAGUAGUCCCUGUCUCUUAUAC
rnacentral:rRNA from 1 species